GAUCCCAGAGGUCUUCUCCAACCACAAUGAUUCUAUGGUUCUGUGGUUCUGUGAUGCUCUGCCCGUGUCACAGGCACCCCCGGCGACAGCCCUGUGGGUGCUUCCCAGUGCGUGCGGACAGGCAGAGCUGCUGGCCUCAACACAGCUGUGUCCCUGAGUCACUUAUGGGAUGAAGCCAGGAGGAGGAGGCAGCAGAGGUGGGGACAGGCAGCACUGAGCUCUAGCACAGCGAUCAGCCCUGGCGAGCCCUGGGGACAGCCUUGGGGUCGGUCCUGGGCUCACCCUUGGGGUCAGCACUGUGGUAACAUAUGGGUCCUGUUGGUGACACUUUGCCAGGCUCUCCCAGCUGAUCUCUUUGCUGAUCUGGCCAUGCAGUGGAUUCCAGCACUGCAAAAAAGCCUGAGCUGUUUGUGCAGGGGGCACCAAUGUAUUGCAGAGUGUCAUUCUGGGGCUUGGAACCGCUGUUCCAGCUGCAGCAGCUCAGAAACUGUGCAAAGUUCUGUAGUAACAUGCAAAUUGCAGCAUUUUGGGGCGGGUCUGUAUGUAAAGCUUGUAAAUUAAUAAAC
rnacentral:lncRNA from 1 species